GACGAACGCUGGCGGCGUGCUUAACACAUGCAAGUCGAACGGAAAGGCCCUGCUUGCAGGGUACUCGAGUGGCGAACGGGUGAGUAACACGUGGGUGAUCUGCCCUGCACUUCGGGAUAAGCCUGGGAAACUGGGUCUAAUACCGGAUAGGAGCCAUUUUUAGUGUGAUGGUUGGAAAGUUUUUUCGGUGUAGGAUGAGCUCGCGGCCUAUCAGCUUGUUGGUGGGGUAAUGGCCUACCAAGGCGGCGGCGGGUAGCCGGCCUGAGAGGGUGGACGGCCACAUUGGGACUGAGAGACGGCCCAGACGCCUACGGGAGGCAGCAGGGGGGAAUAUUGCACAAUGGGCGCAAGCCUGAUGCAGCGACGCCGCGUGGGGGAUGACGGCCUUCGGGUUGUAAACUCCUUUCGCUAGGGACGAAGCUUUUUGUGACGGUACCUAGAUAAGAAGCACCGGCUAACUACGUG
rnacentral:rRNA from 1 species